rnacentral:rRNA from 1 species
CCUACGUGGGGCUGCAGUGAGGAAUAUUGGUCAAUGGGCGAGAGCCUGAACCAGCCAAGUCGCGUGAAGGAUGACGGCCCUACGGGUUGUAAACUUCUUCUGUCAGGGAGCAAUUGAGUCCACGUGUGGGCUUAGCGAGAGUACCUGAAGAAAAAGCAUCGGCUAACUCCGUGCCAGCAGCCGCGGUAAUACGGAGGAUGCGAGCGUUAUCCGGAUUUAUUGGGUUUAAAGGGUGCGUAGGUGGUUAAUUAAGUCAGCGGUGAAAGUUUGUGGCUCAACCAUAAAAUUGCCGUUGAAACUGGUUGACUUGAGUAUAUUUGAGGUAGGCGGAAUGCGUGGUGUAGCGGUGAAAUGCAUAGAUAUCACGCAGAACUCCGAUUGCGAAGGCAGCUUACUAAACUAUAACUGACACUGAAGCACGAAAGCGUGGGGAUCAAACAGGAUUAGAUACCCGUGUAGUC